rnacentral:rRNA from 1 species
AUUGAACGCUGGCGGCAUGCCUUACACAUGCAAGUCGAACGGCAGCGGGGGAGAAGCUUGCCUUUCCUGCCGGCGAGUGGCGAACGGGUGAGUAAUACAUCGGAACGUGCCCUGUAGUGGGGGAUAACUAGUCGAAAGAUUAGCUAAUACCGCAUAAGACCUGAGGGUGAAAGUGGGGGACCGCAAGGCCUCAUGCUAUAGGAGCGGCCGACGUCUGAUUAGCUAGUUGGUGGGGGAAAGGCCUACCAAGGCGACGAUCAGUAGCUGGUCGGAGAGCACGGUCAGCCACACGGGGAGUGAGACACGGCCGAGACUCCGACGGGAGGCAGCAGUGGGGAAUUUUGGAGAAUGGACGAAAGCCUGAUCCAGCAAUGCCGCGUGUGUGAAGAAGGCCUUCGGGUUGUAAAGCACUUUUGUCCGGAAAGAAAUGGCUCUGGUUAAUACCUGGGGUCGAUGACGGUACCGGAAGAAUAAGGACCGGCUAACUACGUGCCAGCCGCCGCGGUAA